UGUGUGUGUGUGUGUGUGCGUGAAUCGAUGAGAUACGUGCUUGAUUGGGUCUCCCUUGUUGUAAUAAUGUACAUGAGGAGGAGGAGGAGGAGGGGACGGGCUCAGGGUGCUCCCAUGCAUGCAGGCUGACUGGAGCGCACGGAUCAGCCGAGCUCUAGCGCCUACUGCCAAACACUUUCUUGGCCGCUGAUGGUACUUUUCUCCCCUUUUUUUUCUUUACGUGGCCUGAUAGGAGCUAUUUAAAUCAGCCACGCAGCGAAUCAGACGUGUCUCCCAACACUGCGCUCCGCUCUCCUCCCUGCGCUUCAAGUGACCGGAGAGGCGCAAAAUCCUCACCAAGCCUGUCCCUUUUAUUGGCACUGAGCGGAAUAAAGUACUUUUUUUCUUCACAGGCAAUCCUCAGGGUGGAACGCGAGGCUUCACGGUGGUGAAAACAAAGGAUAAAGGAUUCUUGAAGAGGGAAUGGAAUAACAAGGGAGGGCAAUAAGGGGGAGCUGUAGUAAGGGAGUCGGGACCUCGCAUCUGCCUUCUGCCGCUGCUGUCUUCACGCACAAACCGGAGCUCCAAAAGCGCUCUUCACUGGGUUGAAGCGGAGAUUUGCAAGAUCUCAUGUUGUUGACCUCAACUGUAGCCAACAAUCUGCCAGGGUAUGAAAGACCAUACACACACACACACACACACACACACAUAUUUGCACUCCACAUAAGCCAUCAGUUUGUCCGACAGACACAUAAAUUUACAUCCUCACAUUCACGCACAGACCGACUCCUUUACAUCACACGUCAGAUCACCCCAGAUUCACACACACUCUCUCACACACACGCACACACACAAAAUACAUCACACAUCAGUUAUGUCUUUUAGGCUGAAGGAAACGGGAGGGCGGGGGGCGUGUUGGCAGCAGGAGGGGUUGACAGGGGAGAAGAGGAAGUACACAGGAAGUACAUUAGUUAUCACUCCCAUGUCUUUUCCACCUUUUCACUUCUUAUCACCACCCGACGUCUCAGACCCCAGCCAAGCUGCUUCUCCUACUCAUCCCACCCCUUCCUUUCCUCUUUCUGUCUUUCUCUUUCUCUCUCUCACACACGCGCCUCUAAAAAUGACUUCCGUGCUCCACUUUAGUGUCGGGCCCUGGGAUCUAGAUGACACUUGGCAAGCUGCAGAAGCCGCAAGACAAGUGGAUGAAAUAUUUAAAUGAAAGACGGCAGGGGUAGAAGAGGUGAAGAAAGGAAGGGGGGGAAAAACAGGGAGAGAAAGGAAUACAGGACAGAGGACGAGGGAAGGAGAGAGUGACGCUAUUCAGACGGUGGGCAGAAUGUGAAGGAUUUCUUUUCUUGGCAAAGAGAGGGCCAUGUGACAAGAAUUGUAGACAGAUUGGCUUUCACCUAUGAAAUAGCCUGAAGAGAUAUAAACCAAUACAGUAUGAGAUCACAUCGCUUUGUCUUGGAAUCAUCAGCUAGUCUCAGUAUGUGUAAAGUACUUUCAGCAGUGGGCCAGCUAAGCUGCUUAGAAGAGGGCAAUGAACCUGAAACAUGACCGAGUGAAAUUUAACUUUGUUACAGCAAUUUCAUGAACUUAGAAUUAUAAGAUUCUAUCUGACUGAUAAAAAUUAGGUAUUCACAUGACACUACUCUGACUAGUUGUAACAUUUUGUGUAGGUUUAUUUUUAGUUUUAUGGCUCAAUAGUCUGAAAAAAGAAAAGAUUCUAUCUCCAAAGUCAAUCUAUAACUUGUUGUAUUGACCUCAUGCGACCCGACAUUUGUUCGAUUUCCAGUUGUUACGGCCAUAGUUAAAGCACAGUAAACACGUGUAAAAUGUCUCAUUCCUGAUUAGUUCAUAUAGCUUACUAUGAGGUAGGAAGACACUACAAAUUCAUGAGGACGCCACCAUCCGUCACAGAUAUUGCAUUAAAAAGACAAUCUUUGGUGCAGUGUUACCUUUAGUGUUAACUAGUUUAAAACUGCCUCAGCUAACUUACUUUGAGUUGCAGCAGUAUCUUGAUGGUGAAAAAACAAGGCUAACUGAUGAUUAGCACAC